rnacentral:lncRNA from 1 species
CUUUUUUCCAUGCACUUAAUUUUUGUUCCCUUGUUGGCAUAUUUCAUUUUCUUCCCUGAAAAUGGGUAGACUGAGAUAAGGUAUGAGGAAGCCUUGGCCAUACCACCAGCCGCUUAUCCCAAAUUCCUGAUCCCUGGAAGACAUCUGGGCCCUCCCUCCUGUUCCAGCCCAGUAGCUUCCAGCAAAGGUACUGGCUCAAUUGGACACGGAGUGUGGAACUGCCUGCUCACACUUGUGAACUCCCGUCCAGGAGGAAGAAACAGGGCCCAGUGAGUAUGGGAAGAUGCCAGUGCCCACUGUGGAAAGCCUGGAGCCAAGUUUUUCUUAAAUGCAAAUGUCCCCAGUGUGGGGUCACGUCCAAGCUCCAGAAGGAAGCCUGGCCUGGGCGUGGGGGUGGGAGGGCUGUUGCUAGAACCUGUCAGUCCUGCUCCACACUUCCGAGUUUUCCGUGGCUUCUCCUGAAACCCGGUCCUAGGGGGUGGGGCUUGAUUCCUAUCCUAGGGGUACUGGGCGGGGUCGUGUAAAUCAUCCAAUCAGGCGCUCCGCCAGGAGGGUGGGGCCAAGCUCCGCAAGUCUAAGGGGCUCUUGUUCCCCUAACCCACUGAAAUCAGCCUUGUUCCCCUAAUCCACUGAAAUCAGCCUUCCAGAGGCCGAGGUGGCUCCACCACAGCUUCUGUCCGGUGGUGACCAGCACUGAUCCCCGGAGCCAAGGGAGGACCCGGGACACCUGGGAGCCGGGAAAUGUUUUCCAUGGCUCUGAGACAAUGACACCGCUUCAGUGUGAACUCUCAUAAAUUGAGUCUAGAUCCCCCGUGCUGUCCGUCUCACCUGUCCUCUGCACAUAUCUGGGAUAUGUCACGGCUUGGUGGUCUUUGAAGAUGUGACUCUGAACUUCAUCCAGAAGGAGUAGGCUUUGCUGGAUUUUUCCGUGAACAAUCUGUAGAGAUGUGAUGAGGGAAGCCAUCAGCACCUGGCUUCUAUAGGUG